GUCUUUUUGAGGAUAAUUUAAAGUCUCGCCUGCCCAAUGAGUUAUUGAAUGGCCGCGGUAAUUUGACCGUGCUAAGGUAGCAUAAUCAAUAGUUUUUUAAUUGAAAGCUGGAAUGAAGGGUUGGAUAAAAAAAUUACUGUCUUUAUUUAAUUUAAUUAGAAUUUUAUUUUUAAGUUAAAAAGCUUAAAUUUUAUUAAAAGACGAGAAGACCCUAUAGAGUUUAAUAAUUUUAUGGGUUUUUACUUUUAGAAUUUAAUUUAUAAAUUUUUAAAAUUAUUUAAUUGGGGUGAUUGAAAAAUUAAUAAAACUUUUUUUUUAUAUUUACAUUAAUAAAUGAAUAUUUGAUCCAUAUAUAAUGAUUAUAAGAUAAAAUUACCUUAGGGAUAACAGCGUUAUUUUUUUUAAGAGUUCAAAUCGAAAAAAAAGAUUGCGA
rnacentral:rRNA from 1 species